rnacentral:rRNA from 1 species
AUUGAACGCUGGCGGCAUGCCUUACACAUGCAAGUCGAACGCGAAAGGGGGCAACCCCGAGUAGAGUGGCGAACGGGUGAGUAAUGCAUCGGAACGUAUCCUAUAGUGGGGGACAACCUCGAGAAAUCGAGGCUAAUACCGCAUACGACCCACGGGUGAAAGCGGGGGACCGCAAGGCCUCGCGCUACUGGAGCGGCCGAUGUCCGAUUAGCUAGUUGGUGGGGUAAAAGCCCACCAAGGCAACGAUCGGUAGCUGGUCUGAGAGGACGACCAGCCACACUGGGACUGAGACACGGCCCAGACUCCUACGGGAGGCAGCAGUGGGGAAUUUUGGACAAUGGGGGCAACCCUGAUCCAGCCAUGCCGCGUGCGGGAAGAAGGCCUUCGGGUUGUAAACCGCUUUCGGCCGGAACGAAAUCGCCGGGGACAACACCCCCGGUGGAUGACGGUACUGGAAGAAGAAGCACCGGCUAACUACGUGCCAGCCGCCGCGGUAAAAC